CCUGAAGGGCCUGAUCCUCUCCCCAGGGGGGUCCUGGGCACCAGUGGAUCCCAGAGGGGACCAAUCCUGCACCCACAGGAUCCCAAAGAUCAACUGGAUCCUGAAGGGUCCUGAUCCUGCACCCACAGGAUCCCAAGGAUCGAGUGGAUCCCAGAGGAGCAAGAUCCUGAGUCACUGCUGGAUCCUGACGGGCCCGAUCCUGCCCCCGGGGGGGUCCUGGGCACCAGUGGAUCCUGGAGGGGCCUGAUCCUGCACCCACAGGGAUCCCAAGGAUCAACUGGAUCCUGGAGGAGCCUGAUCCUGAGUCACCGCUGGAUCCUGAGGGGCCCGAUCCUGCCCCCGGGAGGGUCCUGGGCACCAGUGGAUCCCAGAGGGUCCUGAUCCUGCACCCACAGGAUCCCAAGGAUCGACUGGAUCCCAGAGGGGACCCCCAACCCCCCCUUCGGACCCCCCCUUCCCUCCCCACUGGCUGUUUCCCCCCUGUACAGAGAAAUACAGACGCUGUGGGACGACGCGACCCCAAAAAGCCUCGGAUUCACCCCAAAAAAUUCACUGGGAACACACACAUCCCCCGCCAAAUCCCUGAGAUUGGUCCCAAAGUGGACCCUUGAGAGUCCAAAAUCCCCGGAAUUCACCCCCCAAAAAUAUGUUGGGGGACCAAAAUCCCUGGAAUUCACCCCAAAAAAUCUGCUGGGACCCCCAAAUCCCUGGAAUUCACCCCAAGAAAAUCUGCCGAGACCCCAAAAUCCCUGAGAUUGGCCCCAAAAUGAACCUUUGAGACCCCCAAAUCCCUGGAAAUCACCCGAGAAAUCUACUGAGACCCCAAAAUCACUGGAAUUCACCCCAAAAACCCACCACAACCCCAAAAUCCCUGAGAUGGUUUCCCAAAGGGGACCCUUGAGACCCCAAAAUCCCUGGAAUUCACCCCAAAAAAUCCACUGGGGCUCCAAAAUCCCUGGAAUUCACCCCAAAAAUCUGCUGGGACCCCCGAAAAUCCCUGAGCUGGGUCCCAAAGGGGACCCUUGAGACCCCAAAAUCCCCAGAAUUCACCAAAAAAAAUCUGCUGGAGCCCCAAAAUCCAUGGAAUCUACCCCAAAAAAUCCACUAGGACCCCAAAAUCCCUGGAAUUCACCCCAAAAAUCUGCCUGGACCCCAAAAUCCCUGAAAUUCACCCCAAAAAAAAUCUGUUGGGACCCCAAAAUCCCUGAAAUUCACCCCGAGAAAAUCUGUCGAGACCCCAAAAUCCCUGGAAUUCACCCCAAAAAUCCACUGGGACCCCAAAAUCCCUGAGAUUGGCCCCAAAAUGAA
rnacentral:lncRNA from 1 species